AUUGAACGCUGGCGGCAGGCUUAACACAUGCAAGUCGAGCGGAGAGAGGUAGCUUGCUACUGAUCUUAGCGGCGGACGGGUGAGUAAUGCUUAGGAAUCUGCCUAUUAGUGGGGGACAACAUUUCGAAAGGAAUGCUAAUACCGCAUACGUCCUACGGGAGAAAGCAGGGGAUCUUCGGACCUUGCGCUAAUAGAUGAGCCUAAGUCGGAUUAGCUAGUUGGUGGGGUAAAGGCCUACCAAGGCGACGAUCUGUAGCGGGUCUGAGAGGAUGAUCCGCCACCCUGGGACUGGGAAACGGCCCAGACUCCUACGGGAGGCAGCAGUGGGGAAUAUUGGACAAUGGGCGGAAGCCUGAUCCAGCCAUGCCGCGUGUGUGAAGAAGGCCUUAUGGUUGUAAAGCACUUUAAGCGAGGAGGAGGCUACUUUAGUUAAUACCUAGAGAUAGUGGACGUUACUCGCAGAAUAAGCACCGGCUAACUCUGUGCCAGCCGCCGCGGUAA
rnacentral:rRNA from 1 species